rnacentral:rRNA from 1 species
UACGUAGGGUCCGAGCGUUGUCCGGAGUUACUGGGCGUAAAGCGCGCGCAGGCGGCGGUGUUGGCCCGGCGUGAAAGCCCCCGGCUCAGCCGGGGAGAGUCGUCGGGGACCGCACCGCUUGAGGGCGGUAGGGGCUGGUGGAAUGCCUGGUGUAGUGGUGAAAUGCGUAGAGAUCAGGCAGAACACCUGGGGCGAAGGCGGCCAGCUGGGCCGUCCCUGACGCUGAGGCGCGAAGGCGUGGGGAGCGAACGGG